UACGUAGGUGGCGAGCGUUAUCCGGAAUUAUUGGGCGUAAAGGGAGCGUAGGCGGUUUAUUAAGUCUAAGGUGAAAGUUCGGGGCUCAACCCCGUGACGCCUUAGAAACUGGUAGACUUGAGUACAGGAGAGGUGAGUGGAAUUCCAUGUGUAGCGGUAAAAUGCGUAGAUAUAUGGAGGAACACCAGUGGCGAAGGCGGCUCACUGGCCUGUAACUGACGCUGAGGCUCGAAAGCGUGGGGAGCAAAUA
rnacentral:rRNA from 1 species